rnacentral:rRNA from 1 species
GAUGAACGCUGGCGGCGUGCCUAAUACAUGCAAGUCGAGCGAACGGAUAAGGAGCUUGCUCCUUUGAAGUUAGCGGCGGACGGGUGAGUAACACGUGGGUAACCUACCUAUAAGACUGGAAUAACUUCGGGAAACCGGAGCUAAUGCCGGAUAACAUUUGGAACCGCAUGGUUCUAAAGUAAAAGAUGGUUUUGCUAUCACUUAUAGAUGGACCCGCGCCGUAUUAGCUAGUUGGUAAGGUAACGGCUUACCAAGGCAAUGAUGCAUAGCCGAGUUGAGAGACUGAUCGGCCACAUUGGGACUGAGGCACGGCCCAA